UGAGUCCUUGUAAGUUCUUUGGAACUAU
rnacentral:piRNA from 1 species